UGGGGGAUGAAUGGCUUCGGCCCGUAAACCCCUGUCAUUCGCGAUCAAGGCGUAUUAUUUAAAAGAUGAUGCGUUGAUAGUAGCGGAAGAGGAAGGGGCGGCUAACUCUGUGCCAGCAGCCGCGGUAAUACAGAGGUCCCGAGCGUUGUUCGGAUUCACUGGGCGUAAAGGGUGCGCAGGUGGUGGGGUAAGUCGGAUGUGAAAUCUCGGAGCUUAACUCCGAAAUGGCAUUGGAAACUGCCCUGCUAGAGGGUCGGAGGGGGGACUGGAAUGCUUGGUGUAGCAGUGAAAUGCGUAGAUAUCAAGCGGAACACCAGUGGCGAAGGCGAGUCCCUGGACGACUCCUGACACUGAGGCACGAAAGCUAGGGGAGCAAACAGGAUUAGAUACCCUGGUAGUCCUAGCCGUAAACGGUGCACGUUUGCUGUAAAAGGAAUCGACCCCUUUUGUGGCGUAGCUAACGCGUUAAACGUGCCGCCUGGGAAGUACGGUCGCAAGAUUA
rnacentral:rRNA from 1 species